rnacentral:rRNA from 1 species
GCUUACGGCCAUACCAGCCUGAUUACGCCCGAUCUCGUCCGAUCUCGGGAGCUAAGCACGGUCGGGCCUGGUUAGUACUUGGAUGGGAGACCGCCUGGGAAUACCAGGUGCUGUAAGCUU